UUUGUGGGAAUGGGGAGUGUUGGUAUCCUGAAGGCAAAGUUUCGACAGGUUGUUCUACACAAAACAGAAACACGGGAUAACAUUGUCAUUAUCAUUUUGGACUUAUAAUUGGAAGGAUGGCCAGUACUAGAAGGUCUUGAUCGUUUUCCUGCUUUUGCUGUUUCACUCUCGAACGUCAACACCUUGACAUGCCUUAGCAUGUUGUCAUUAUAACUGGGCGCGAGAAUAAAGGGUACUACUAGUGUCAUCAAGACAACAUCAAAGUGAGGUAAAUAGGACCAGUGGAUGCUAUAUUUGUGUCACGCUCUUAACUUUACUCCGGCUUAGAACGCGUCUUCAAGGCAACAUCCUUUCGAGGAGG